rnacentral:rRNA from 1 species
AGCGCGCGUAGGUGGCCAAUUAAGUCAAAUGUGAAAUCCCCGAGCUUAACUUGGGAAUUGCAUUCGAUACUGGUUGGCUAGAGUAUGGGAGAGGAUGGUAGAAUUCCAGGUGUAGCGGUGAAAUGCGUAGAGAUCUGGAGGAAUACCGAUGGCGAAGGCAGCCAUCUGGCCUAAUACUGACACUGAGGUGCGAAAGCAUGGGGAGCAAACAGGAUUAGAUACCCUGGUAGUCCAUGCCGUAAACGAUGUCUACUAGCCGUUGGGGCCUUUGAGGCUUUAGUGGCGCAGCUAACGCGAUAAGUAGACCGCCUGGGGAGUACGGUCGCAAGACUAAAACUCAAAUGAAUUGACGGGGGCCCGCACAAGCGGUGGAGCAUGUGGUUUAAUUCGAUGCAACGCGAAGAACCUUACCUGGUCUUGACAUAGUAAGAACUUUCCAGAGAUGGAUUGGUGCCUUCGGGAACUUACAUACAGGUGCUGCAUGGCUGUCGUCAGCUCGUGUCGUGAGAUGUUGGGUUAAGUCCCGCAACGAGCGCAACCCUUUUCCUUAUUUGCCAGCGGGUUAAGCCGGGAACUUUAAGGAUACUGCCAGUGACAAACUGGAGGAAGGCGGGGACGACGUCAAGUCAUCAUGGCCCUUACGACCAGGGCUACACACGUGCUACAAUGGUCGGUACAAAGGGUUGCUACCUCGCGAGAGGAUGCUAAUCUCAAAAAGCCGAUCGUAGUCCGGAUGGAGUCUGCAACUC